GCGCCCAUAGCUCAGCCUGGUAGAGCAGUUGCCUUUUAAGCAAACGGUCGCAGGUUCAAAUCCUGCUGGGCGCACCA
rnacentral:tRNA from 1 species